UGUUUUGUGGUGUGCAUGGACGCCAGGUGUCUGCUGUAGAGGGAACAAGAGGGUUUCAGUUUUGUGUGGCCAUGGACCAUAGAUGGCAUAAGAAAAAUAUUGGUAUUUGGUUUGGGUUUAUUUAUGAUUGGAUAUUUUUCUUUGGCUGUGUUAUGGAGAAAGAAAGAAGGUAGUGUGUAAGUGGCACAUAGGCAUGAUAGAGAUUCCGAUUUGAAUCACCGGGUCGAGAACCCGCCAUGUGGAUUUAGAUGUGGUCAUCCUCACUUCAUUUGAUCUUCCUUUCUCUCUCCUAUCAACACUCAUCAUUCAUUCAACAACUCCAUAACUUCUAAUCCCAUUUCAUCCGUCUGCGAUUCACGCGCCACUUCCUCGGGCCCACACCCACGUGCCUUCUGCCACCUAGCCAUUCCUUAUUCAAUUUUCUUUUGCUUCUCACAUUCUUCCAAACACCAAACCGUGUAUACUGUUUCAAGUUUGAUUCCUGUGUGCGCUGACAACCAGCGUCCACGACGCCGUUUCGUUUUCCUGUUCUCCCUAAUUUUCCAGACAAGGAAGGUUUAUGCUGCUGGCUGGGUCAACUUUGGCGGUUUUCUCCUGCUGGAGAAUUUUAAUUUUCAUUCGCAAAAAAAUCUUUUCAAGAAGAAUAAGGUUUGCCUGUUAAUUCUCCUUCAGGUUGUCGGUACAUUAUUUUUUUUUUCUUGUAUAUAUCCUAUACCGCUUUAUUCAUCCAGAAUUCUUCAGAGAAACUAUUUAUCAACUUUUUCAUGAAAGUGAUUGAUUAUAUUAGGAUUAUUUUGAUCUAUCUACAGAUUAAUUUGAUGGCUAACGAGUUCAAUGCAGGUCUGGUCAUGUUCUUUCCAUUUUUUUUCCUUCAAUAUUAAAUCCAUGUUUUGUUUAUGACUAUAACAAACUACCUAUAAUGGUAAAAAGUUAGAAAUUUUAUCAUGUUAUGAAGAUAGAGAGAAUCACACUAAUACUCACAGGAUAAUUAUGUCUAUAUUGUCAGGCUCCACGAACUACAUCUACAAAAAAGAGGUUUCAAUUUUGACUGGAGUUUAAAAUGCUUGACACCCUUGUCACUGCACCUCAUUCCUUCCAUUUGUAUCUCAUUGUAGGUCAAAGUAGGGUACUGCUAUUGUGGUUGAAUAACAUGAAGUUGCUGAAAAUUCUGUGCUUAAGGUCAAAACAGUCCACCUUGAAUUUGAAUUUUUGUGUUUGUUGAUGUGAAUGUGUAUUAUUUAGAAACUGUUAUCUUCCUUGUGCCACGUAUAUUCCAGUCUCGGUUUUCUUCCUGCAAUAGUUAGUUAGUGUUCAUGAAAGGGAAAUGAGUUAUGGAAUGUUAGUGUGCGUCAAUUCUCAUUGUCGGGAGGUGCAAAUUUUCCACAACCAGAAGUUGAAGGAGGAGACAAAUAGAAAACAAAAAAUGUUUUGUUUUUCACGUGUGAUGGCAUGUAACACGGCCCAACUUAUUGGGUUGAAUAAAAAAUUUUCUAGACAUUUCAAACGUGGUAGCUCCUACUAUAUACACCCCGUUCCACUGCC